GGCGGGGCUGCGGAUUGGACGGCGCCUCGGUGUACGGGGCGUGGAUCCCGGAAGUGAGCCGUGUGAACAUAGAGCUAUGCAGGGGGAUCCACGCCCCCGCCGCUGCACCAACCGACCUGCGGAACUCCCUGCUGCAGGCAUGACGAGGGGAAACAUCAGGUUUCGUCCCCGGGAGUGGGUUCGCCUCCAUAUCAAUAUUGCCUCCUUUGUGGGCAUCACCAUCUACCGAGCAAUGUACCCCCAAAGUAGACCCAACUCAGCCGCGAAAUGUUCCCCAAGACGAUCCCAGAACAAAACCAUCAAGUGCGGAAGGAAGGUCUGUAUGUCUGCUCAAGAGAAGGAUCCCUUUGUAUGUCAAUAUAAUGUAUUUCUUCAAUGAGAAGAAGUGUGAGAACAAAUGUUCUGAUAGGAAAGGUGGGUGAAAAGAUAGAAUAAGUGAAGAAUAAAAAGAGAAGAAGAGAAAGAAAAAAAAUUAAAAUCAUAUUAGUAGUCAAUAGAAAGGGUAAAAAAUAAAGAAAAUAACGGAAAUAGUAAUAAAUAAUAAAAAAUAUAUUCAAUUUUAGAUAUUACAUAUGUCCCAUUCUUAACUAGGAGCAAUUUAUAAGUCGGAUGUUUGUAACUUGGGGGACGCAGCCUGGGUCUCCUCACCCGUGGAGGUUUUAACUUGA
rnacentral:lncRNA from 11 species